UGGGGAAUAUUGCACAAUGGGCGGAAGCCUGAUGCAGCAACGCCGCGUGCGGGAUGACGGCCUUCGGGUUGUAAACCGCUUUCGCCUGUGACGAAGCGUGAGUGACGGUAAUGGGUAAAGAAGCACCGGCUAACUACGUGCCAGCAGCCGCGGGGAUACGUAGGGUGCGAGCGUUGUCCGGAUUUAUUGGGCGUAAAGGGCUCGUAGGUGGUUGAUCGCGUCGGAAGUGUAAUCGUGGGGCUUAACCCUGAGCGUGCUUUCGAUACGGGUUGACUUGAGGAAGGUAGGGGAGAAUGGAAUUCCUGGUGGAGCGGUGGAAUGCGCAGAUAUCAGGAGGAACACCAGUGGCGAAGGCGGUUCUCUGGGCCUUUCCUGACGCUGAGGAGCGAAAGCGUGGGGAGCGAACA
rnacentral:rRNA from 1 species